rnacentral:rRNA from 1 species
GACGAACGCUGGCGGCGUGCUUAACACAUGCAAGUCGAACGGAAAGGCCCCUUUGGGGGUACUCGAGUGGCGAACGGGUGAGUAACACGUGAGUAACCUGCCCUUGACUUCGGGAUAACUUCAGGAAACUGGGGCUAAUACCGGAUAGGAAUCCUUGCUGCAUGGUGGGGGUUGGAAAGCUUCGGCGGUUUUGGAUGGACUCGCGGCUUAUCAGCUUGUUGGUGGGGUAGUGGCUUACCAAGGCUUUGACGGGUAGCCGGCCUGAGAGGGCGACCGGCCACAUUGGGACUGAGAUACGGCCCAGACUCCUACGGGAGGCAGCAGUGGGGAAUAUUGCACAAUGGGCGGAAGCCUGAUGCAGCAACGACGCGUGCGGGAUGACGGCCUUCGGGUUGUAAACCGCUUUCAGCAGGGGCGAAGCUUGUGGUGACGGUACCUGCAGAAGAAGCACCGGCUAACUACGUG